rnacentral:lncRNA from 1 species
GCAAUUUCAUGCUUCUAGACACGAUGUCGGCAUUCCAGGACAGCAGCAGAAAGUGUAGAAAAAUAAAAAAGUCCUACCUCCCUAAUGAGUCAACUGCACUUAAGGAGCCAUCCCAGAAGUUUCACACAGAGACGGGGUUUCACUGCGUUAGCCAGGAUGGUCUCGAUUUCCUGACCUCGUGAUCCGCCCGCCUCAGCCUCCCAAAGUGCUGGGAUUACAGGAGUGAGCCACCACGCCCGACCUCACACAGCUUAUUUUAAUACAGUUGCAUCCAGAUGCAAGGGAUGCUGGGAAACGUUUGGUAUUGUGCUCAGCUAAAGUUGAGAUUACGUUAGUGAAAAUGAGACCUUGCACACUGGAAGGUUAAAAGCAAUCUCUCAUGACAACAAUAAAGAAAUUGAAUUAAAACUUUAAGCAAUGUGAUAAACCUAUGGAAUGUUAACAGGCAAAAAUAGCAACAUUAAAAAUUGCAGUGAAGAAAUAAGGUAUGAUUCGUUUGUAGAUGGUUUGUGUGUCAUUAAUCUAGGCAAAAACUGAUAAACUCUUCUAAUAGUGAUGAAACGUAUAAAAGAAAUAAUAAUACACACUAUGGCUAACAACAUUCCAUUUUGGCAUAUUUACUCUUGCUAAGUCUCUAUGCUUAGCAUCAGAAAUGUACAGUUUUGAUAGCCUAUGAUGUCAACAUGUUCAGUUUGAUAGUAGAAAAGACAUAACAUGAAGACAAACCAAUGAACAAAUAAGAAUAAAAACUGUUAAAAAAGAACAAUAUUAUAAGAACAUAAGGAUGUGAUAAUGUAUUUGAUAGUUUUAUUGUUUUAUAGUUUGAUAAUACAAAUUUACUGCUCCUUCAAUGUUAGAAUCAAUAGAAUUACAGCAGAAGUAAUUAAACAGAUAAAGAUCAAAAUGUCACCUUUAUUACUUACGGUUUGAAAAAUAGUCUAAGGCUGGUUUUGUAGGGUUGCUCCUAUCCAUCACCUGAUGUGAACUUUCUUAGGAAGCUUCAGGACUACCCCAAAGAACCAGAACCUGCUCUUUCACUCUGUUGCCUUGUGUGGAGUGCAGACCAUCAUGACUGCUCUCUAUAAGAAAAAGAAAGGAACUGAUUAAGAAACGCACAACAGUUGGUGAAUUGAGAAUUGCACAAUAGGUAUGAAAUUGGUUAGCUUUCUAAACUCACCAAUCUCAUAACUAGCACCUGUUCCCAUGCAGUGAAUGAGUAAAGGAUGGACAGAGUCCAUAAUGAUUAUUCUAGGGAAAUCCUUCUGAGUAGAAAGAGGAGAGUUUUGCAAACAGUUUUGUGUAGUUUACUCUUAUCUAUGCACUGAUAAUAAAUAAGAGUUCCUAAAAUUCUCUCUAGAACUCUAGGUAAAUGAGAUAUUUCACUGCUCAUGCUGUGUGACCUUCAUAUCCCAUCUGCCUAGACUGUAAAUAUGCUUUCUGAAUUUUAAAAGAAUUAGUAUACUAUGCUUACAUUAAGCAAAAAAGUACCCUUAUUAUGCAGGAUCAAGUAACACUCUAAAGAUUC